CUCCAUGCACUACUAUCCUACCUUCAGUCUUGGCAGUUACUACUUUGCACCCUGUGAAAGCCCAAGUGCUGCAGAGAGAUUUCUCCUCUCUCUGCCUUGCUCCUACCCUGCCAUGAGCCAUUGUCUUAACUUGGGAAAGGUCUGAGCACCUUAUAUGGGGUGUCUCUAAGCUACCCUGCCCUCCUCCCAGCCUUCAGCGUACUAUUCAUGUACACUGCUGAAGGCCUAUGGGGAAUGGUUGGCAGUUAGGUGCAUUCUCUUUCUGUGGUUGAGGUUUCUUGGGAUUCUAAUGCUUCAUGCCAGCUCACAUGCAGUCUUUACAAAUUCAUUAAAAUAUGGCUGGUUUUUCCUCAUCACCUGCUAUGAUAUAUUCUUUCCUCUUUCAGCUGCUCUGCUAGAAUGCAAACAGAUACAGAUCUCUACUGUUAGAAAAAGGAAUCUUCUGCACCUUCUGACUUUUCAUUUAGUUAGAUUAUUUCUGUCCUCAGAUCUCUGGUGGGUUUAAAAAACCAUGCUUUUGUUGCUUAUCUGGUUUAUGGUUAUUGUUGGGGAUCUGGCGUUGCUGUGAGCUGUGGUGUAGGUCACAGACGUGGCUCGGACCCCACAUUGUUGUGGCUGCGGCUGUGGUCUAGGCCGGCAGUUGUAGCUCUGAUUCAACCUUUAGCCUGGGAACUUUGCUAUGUUGCGGGUGUGGCCCUAAAAAGUAAAAAAAAAAAAAAUUUUAAAUAACUAAAACACAAGAAGAAACAAGCCCAAAUAAACAAAAGGCAGCAGGAAAAAAAAUAUAUAAACUGAAAUGUCAGACUCCCAAGAUUGAUAUUGAAAUUAUUAGAUACAGAUUAUACAGCAAGGAUGUUGAUCUACCUAAAUUUUAGCUGCAUGAAUGAAAAUGAGAAUUUUAAAAUCAUAGUGUUGGGCAAAAAGAAGCAAGUCCCAAAUCAAUAAAAUGGAGAAAUGAGUUUUAGUCUAUUUAUACAACACAUAUCACAGAGCAGUUUAAAAAAUGUACUAGAGCUAUGCUUACCAGGAUGGAAGAAUCUCAGAAAUAGAAUGAUGAGUGAGAAGGGCAUUAAUAAAUACAUAUGAUAUGAGCUCUUUUAUGUAAGUUUCAAGACCUGGGAAAAUUAAAUAUUCUAUUGUUUAGGAAUAUAGCAUAUAUUAUAAAACUAUUUUUUAAAGUAGCUGGUAGUUUAUAAUACAGGAUAGUGGUUUCGAUGAGAAAGGAAAGAGAGGGGAAGAGGGGCCAUGGGCCAUGGUGAGCUGAAAAAGUUUGUUGGGUUGUGUUUUCUUUCUUUUUUUCUCUUUUGGCUGCCCCACGUCAUAUGGAAUUUCUGGGCCAGGGGUCAGAUCCGAGCUGCAGUUGCAUCCUAUGCCACAGCUAUGACAACGUCAGAGCCUUAACCCACUGUGCCAGACUGGGGAUUGAACCUGUGUCCCAAUGCUUCAGAGACACUACUGAUCCUGUUGGCCACAGUGGGAACUCCAGGGUUGUAUUUUAUUUCUUGAGCCAGGAGGUUUAAUAUACGGGUGUUUAUUAACAUUAUUUAAGGGAGUUCCCGUCGUGGCACAGUGGUUAACGAAUCCAACUGGGAACCAUGAGGUUGCGGGUUCCAUCCCUGCCCUUGCUCAGUGGGUUGAUGAUUCGGCGUUGCCUUGAGCUGUGGUGUAGGUCACAGACGUGGCUCGGAUCCCACAUUGCUGUGGCUCUGGCGUAGGUCAGCGGCUACAGGUCCGAUUGGACCCCUAGCCUGGGAACCUCCAUAUGCCGCGGGAGCGGCCCAAGAAAUGGCAAAAAGACAAAAAAGAAAAAAAAA
rnacentral:lncRNA from 1 species